AACGAACGCUCGCGGCAUGCCUAACACAUGCAAGUCGAACGAGACCUUCGGGUCUAGUGGCGCACGGGUGCGUAACGCGUGGGAACCUGCCCUUAAGUUCGGAAUAACUCCCCGCAAGGGGUGCUAAUACCGGAUAAUGUCUUCGGACCAAAGAUUUAUCGCCUUUGGAUGGGCCCGCGUUGGAUUAGCUAGUUGGUAGGGUAAAAGCCUACCAAGGCGACGAUCCAUAGCUGGUCUGAGAGGAUGAUCAGCCACACUGGGACUGAGACACGGCCCAGACUCCUACGGGAGGCAGCAGUGGGGAAUAUUGGACAAUGGGCGAAAGCCUGAUCCAGCAAUGCCGCGUGAGUGAUGAAGGCCUUAGGGUUGUAAAGCUCUUUUACCCGGGAUGAUAAUGACAGUACCGGGAGAAUAAGCGCCGGCUAACUCCGUG
rnacentral:rRNA from 1 species